UGAGACAUCUGGUGGCACCCGCUUGAAUUGCUGGAGACAACAAGGAGGAAGAGAAGAGGGUAUUAUAUUACUGGGGAAGGGGAGGAUAGUGUAGUGUUUGCUGGGGAAGGAGGAGAUUAUGUGUACUUGCUGGAAAAAGAAGAAAAAAGUGCGUGUGUUUACUGAAGAAGGAAAAGGAAGCACGUCUGUUUACUAGGGACGACAACAACAAUGCAAUAACGACGUUUGUUAACCAUGUGCUUGAACAUAAGUGCUUCUGGGAGACACUGAACACGGCUACAGACGCAGAAGGAGAAUAGAAAACGGACCACGGAAGCCCUGCCAAGCUGACCAGAGGCACGGAAGGGUGAGGAAAGGAAAGAAUUAGCGAGCAAUCAACUGUAGCCUGAUCCUUCAUCCUCGCUCAUUGAAAAGCCGCCACUUGAGACUGAAAGAAGAGGACGAGGACGAGGAAGAGGAAGAGGACGAGAUGAAGUAGAGGAGGACCCAGAGAGGCACACUUGCAUCACUUACUUAACGAGUCACACACACCUGCCGCGCUUCAGAAAGUGUUUGAUUACCAAGUCUACGCCAUUCGUCUAACGAGUCGUGGAAGUGUGGAAGACAUGACAAAGAAGAGGAAGGCAUGGGAUGAGGUGGAAAGACUGCACUGAAGAACACACGAGACGAAGGAAUAAGCGGAAGAAUGACACAAAAAAAAAAAAAAAAUAGAAAAGAUUCAUUAAAAAUAUCGACCAAGAAUAGAAAUUUAAGUUAAAAAGAAGAAAAAGAAGGAUAAGAUGGAAGGAAAGAAUGCAUUAAAGAACACACGAGAUGAAGGAAUAAAAGAAAUAAUGGCACAAAACAGACACACUUGGAAAAUAUUAAUUAAAAACAGCGACUACGAAUAGAGAUUUAAGCUAUAAAGAAAAAAAGGAGAAGGAUAAGGUGGGAGGAAAGAAUGCAUUAAAGAACACGAGAGACUAAAGAAUAAGCGAAAGAAUGGCACAAGACAGACACACACUUAGAAAAGAUUAAUUAAAACAGUGAUUCCGAAUAAAGAUUUAAGCUAAGAAGAAGAGCAACAACAAGAACAAGAACAAGAAAGAAGGAGAAAAGGAAGAAAAUAAACAAAUUAAGGAGAAAACGAAAAAAUAAAAGAAGAAAAUAAAUAAAAAUAAUAAGUUUAAACAGGCCAGCGUGGUGAGGAGGGAAGGUGAAAGAAACAAGAACUGCGGGACUCCUCUCUUUGCCCCUCCUGACGCCCCCAAAGACCCUACAUAUUUGAACGCGACGCAGCGCACUAUUCCUAAAAGAUUGGUCUUCUUGCUUUCGUGUUUCCUGUGUGC